AACGUAGGUGGCGAGCGUUAUCCGGAUUUACUGGGCGUAAAGGGUGUGCAGGCGGGUCAUUAAGUGGUGUAUGAAAUCGCCCGGCUCAACCGGGCGAGGUUAUGCCAGACUGGUGGUCUAGAGAGCGAGAGAGGGACGUGGAAUUCCGGGUGUAGUGGUGAAAUGCGUAGAGAUCCGGAGGAACCCCAGAGGCGAAGGCGGCGCUCUGGGCCGGAACUGACGCUGAGGAGCGAAAGCGUGGGUAGCAAACAGG
rnacentral:rRNA from 1 species